AUGGCUCCGGCAUCCGAUGCCAACACAACGAGGUUAUACUCCAAUCAAACAUGUGAAUAUUUACCAGAGUGCUUCAAGAUCGAUCUGAUGAUCCACUACCGCUCUGCUGUUAUGACUAAUUUGGAUGGGAAUGGUGAUUUCAUGGUUAGUUAUGAUUACUUGGUUCUUGCUCUUGGAGUUACUGUGAAUACAUUCAACACUCCUGGUGUGAUGGAGCAUUCCCACUUUCUGAAGGUAGUGGAGGAUGCCCAAAAGAUUCGGAAGAGCAUGAUAGACUGCUUUGAAAAGGCGUCACUUCCUAACCUCAGUGAAGAGGAGAAAAGGAAGAUCCUUCACUUUGUGAUUAUCGGUGGUGGACCUACUGGGGUUGAAUUUGCUGUGGAGUUGCAUGAUUUUCUUGUCGAAGAUCUGCGGACCGCGUCCUCAGCGGGUCGGCGACGACGGUUGCAGCUGGUGCAUGAUGGCGAUUCCAACGUCAACAGGAAUCUGCAACUUAGUACUCUACGCUCAUACAUGAUCCCACAUAUUCUAGAUGCUUUCUUGAGGCUUUGGCUAAAAAUUUGUGGUGUACGUCACUCAUUAGGUAACUAUGACGGGCUAAAUCCUUAA
rnacentral:rRNA from 1 species